AUUGAACGCCGGCGGCAGGCCUAACACAUGCAAGCCGAACGGUAGCACAGAGAGCUUGCUCUCGGGUGACGAGUGGCGGACGGGUGAGUAACGUCUGGGAAACUGCCCGAUGGAGGGGAUAACUACUGGAAACGGUAGCUAAUACCGCAUAACGUCGCAAGACCAAAGUGGGGGACCUUCGGGCCUCACACCAUCGGAUGUGCCCAGAUGGGAUUAGCUAGUAGGUGGGGUAAUGGCUCACCUAGGCGACGAUCCCUAGCUGGUCUGAGAGGAUGACCAGCCACACUGGAACUGAGACACGGUCCAGACUCCUACGGGAGGCAGCAGUGGGGAAUAUUGCACAAUGGGCGCAAGCCUGAUGCAGCCAUGCCGCGUGUAUGAAGAAGGCCUUCGGGUUGUAAAGUACUUUCAGCGGGGAGGAAGGCGGUGAAGUUAAUAGCUUCACCGAUUGACGUUACCCGCAGAAGAAGCACCGGCUAACUCCGUGCCAGCAGCCGCCGUAA
rnacentral:rRNA from 1 species